rnacentral:lncRNA from 1 species
AACGGAGGGAAAGAAAGAGAAAGAAGAAAAAAAUGAGAAAUGAUAUAAAUUUUAUCCAAAUAGUAUAAUUUUUAUCUAAAGAGUGUAAGUUUGAGUGUAAUUUCUAUCUCAAAGAGUAUAAUUUUCAUUUAAAAUAGUACAAUUUUUUUUUAAAAUAGUACAAUUUUAUUUUAACAGAGUAAUUUUAUAUUCUUCUUAUUUUUUUUAUAAUUUUUUAUCUUUCCAAUACAAAAAAUAUAUUUUUAUUUUUA